GUGGAGGAGGCCGUGGGAGGAAGAGGAGGAAGGAGGGUAGGUCGGAGGCCUUGCCUCCUGGCUCUGGCCAGGCUUGCUCAGGGCCCCUCCAUCUCUCUCUCUCUCUCUCUCACACACACACACACACACACACACACACACACACACGUAUACUUUGCACUCAGAUCCAAGAUUUGAUCUGGUCUAAGCCCCACGUCCCCAGGCAGGAAUGAAGCUAGUCUCACAGCAGCACCGUUUGUAGAGUACCGACCGGGCGCCAGGCACUGCCAGGCACUGAGUGCAUCAUCUCAUUUAAUCCUCAUCCGCCAGGAGGGUGGGGCCAUUAUAACGUCUACUCUACAGACCAGGAAACCGAGGCUCAGAGGCGUUAACACCCUACCCAAGCGUCAGCAUGAUCUCCCUCUAGGGCUCUGGAGGCAGAAGACCUCCCUGACUGGGUCACGCGGAUGUGAGCUCGUGAACUGAGGGUGCCCUGCAUGGACUCCUUACGGCGGGACAGCCUCGUGCCAAGGCCUGCAGCCAUGUUCCCUUGUCUAGUCCUCACGGCAGUUCCACCAGAAGGCUGCUAUGACGGCCUCCCCCCGACAGAUGAGGAAACUGAGGCUCAGAGAGGCCUUGUCCACAGUCACGUAGCUUGUAAAGGUUUCAGAGCCUCACGACCUCCUCUGGCUGCUCCCCUCAGGCUGGCCCCAGGGCCUGGGCAGCUGUGGGGCCCUGGGCCCCGAGGCAAGGCCCCCUCUUCUGUUGCCAAGGUGGCAGAGGAAGGUGCCUACCUGCCCCUCCCAGGCGCGGUGCAGCGCCACGGCACCCAUGGAACGCGGCUGCAUUCCUGUGGCAGGGGUGUGGCUGCCCGCGGCCGUGUGCCCCAGGCCUGUGCCUGCUGCUGAGCCGCCCAGCGCCCGCGCUGAGUCAGCAGGCCGGCAGCCCUGUCCCUCCCAGCAAAGCCCCAUCACCAGGAGGGUGGUGGCGGCCGCGCAAAGGAGGAAACUCGACUUCCCUUGGAGGAGGGGGGCGCCUUGGGUUCUAAGCUGGGGACCCAGGCGGGGAGCAGCAGGAGGCAGGACCUUCAGAGCCAGAGGGGGGACUUCAGACUGGACAGGAGGCAACUGUGCUUUCCUCAGCGUCUUCUGUGUGCCAGGCGCCGUGCUGGCGGCCGGCGAGCUUCUCUUAUCUCACGUAAUAAAACUGACUCACUAUCCUGAUCCCCCAUUUUGCAUAUGGGGAAACUGAGGCGCGGCCAGGCCCUUAGCGAGCAAAGGGCAUGGACAGGCCUCGGAGCUAUGCUCAGUCUGCCGGGAGGGGGAUGCGGGAGGGACCCCCUGUUGCACCAGGCUUGCCCAAUGUGAGCCUGGACUAGCCACUCCCCCCUGAGCCUCAGUUUCCCAUCUCUGUGGGGGUCAGCCGAGGGUCUCUCCGAGCCCUGAGAAGGAAGGGAAAGUGAGAGGCCGCACAACUUCCUCCUCCCGCUAUUUGCUCUUGAUUAGGGACAAGUCACUUCCCCUGGCUGGUCUCACCCUCUCGGCCAGCCUUUGAUCUCCUGGCGGUGCCUGCCUUCAGAUCCCUUUAUCUUUAUGGGCAAUGCCCCUGGGUGCCACCCUCACCCGUCCGCACCCCACACUGGCAUCCGGAGGGCAGAGAGGGAGAAACGAGAGUGGGAAGUGGAGGGCCAGGGGCCAGGAGGGGC
ensembl:lncRNA